UGUUUCCAGAGGAGGAAGUCUGGUGACUCCAGGGGCAGCCUACUUAUAUUGUACCAUAUUUAACACACCGUGAUGCUCAGGGAGUUGUCUUGGGUUUGAGAAGAUCUUCUAGAUGGCAGGACUAGUUAGCUUCCGUGAAAUCUAGUACCUCUGGGAAAAUUCUGCUGCUUACAAAUUUCCUAUUUUGAAAAAGGAAAACUGCGGAACAUGAACUCCAUGAGGGCUCUGGACUCCUGUAUUCAGUACUGCUCUUAGAACAGGCAAUCGUGGCCUGUGUUUUGGGGAGCUCUACUCUGGCCCUCCUUCAUCAGUACUACUCCCCAUGCGUGAUCCAUCUGUGAGACCAAGGUACACACCCAGAACCUGCACCAACCCCUCCAUUCUAGAUAAUGCUCUGCAAGCACAGGCCCUGAAAUUUCACACCAGCAAAGACUUGUGCCUACUUCUAGUGUCUGAAUGGCUGCCCCUGAAAACCCAAAAUCUUCUGAUUGACUGAGAUUUGAUCAUAGUCCUAUAUUGGCUGAACCAGAGUCUGGUCCACAGUUGGAGGUAGGUAUUUUCAAGCCAGGAAUUACCUUUCCACCAACUUUAAAUACAAUGGGGAGAAGGUAAUUUCCCUCAAAGAAAUUGGUUGACCAUUGAGAAGAGAGAUUAUGUUGGGAACUGCCUACUGCAGACAAGAUGAACAUUGUCAAUGUUGCAUAGAGAAGAAGGAAGAUGAGGACCAAUAAGGGACCACUGAAUUCAGAGAUAAAUUAAAAGACCAUUACUCUUGGUGAAAGAUGAGGGUAACCAUGAAGGGCUCUCUAAGAACACACAGGAAGUGAAAUAGGAUGGCCACAGGGAGUUAAACUAUAAAACAGACACUAAGUUUGAUGGAUAAAAGACAGGCAGAGUUAUGUUAAGAGAGACAGAUUCCUGACCAGGCCAGUAAGACAGGAUUGAAACCUGACUGAAGGCAUUACCUUAUCAAAGGAAAGAAUGUGUCAUUCAGAGGGGAGGUUGGCUAACAAAGGAGAAGCAGAGAGACACAAGCCAGAGAAGCUAGCUAGUGCCUAGAUUAGAUGAUAUAAACAUCCACUUUUCACAGGCAGAUACCUCCUUAUCCUGGAAGCA